rnacentral:rRNA from 1 species
CGUAGGGUGCGAGCGUUGUCCGGAAUUAUUGGGCGGUAAAGGGACGUCGUAGGCGGUUUGGUUCGCGUCGGGAGUGAAACCAAGGUGCUUAACACCUGGCUUGCUUUCGAUACGGGCAGACUAGAGGUAUGCAGGGGAGGAACGGAUUCCUGGUGUAGCGGUGAAAUAGCGCAGAUAUCAGGAGGAACACCGGUGGCGAAGGCGGUUCUCUGGGCAUGACCUGACGCUGAGGAGCGAAAGUGUGGGGGAGCGAACAGGAUU